rnacentral:rRNA from 1 species
ACUGCUAAUACCGCAUAAGCCCACGGGUCGGCAUCGACCAGAGGGAAAAGGAGCAAUCCGCUUUGAGAUGGCCUCGCGUCCGAUUAGCUAGUUGGUGAGGUAACGGCCCACCAAGGCGACGAUCGGUAGCCGGACUGAGAGGUUGAACGGCCACAUUGGGACUGAGACACGGCCCAGACUCCUACGGGAGGCAGCAGUGGGGAAUAUUGCACAAUGGGGGAAACCCUGAUGCAGCGACGCCGCGUGGAGGAAGAAGGUCUUCGGAUUGUAAACUCCUGUUGUUGGGGAAGAUAAUGACGGUACCCAACAAGGAAGUGACGGCUAACUACGUGCCAGCAGCCGCGGUAAAACGUAGGUCACAAGCGUUGUCCGGAAUUACUGGGUGUAAAGGGAGCGCAGGCGGGAAGACAAGUUGGAAGUGAAAUCUAUGGGCUCAACCCAUAAACUGCUUUCAAAACUGUUUUUCUUGAGUAGUGCAGAGGUAGGCGGAAUUCCCGGUGUAGCGGUGGAAUGCGUAGAUAUCGGGAGGAACACCAGUGGCGAAGGCGGCCUACUGGGCACCAACUGACGCUGAGGCUCGAAAGUGUGGGUAGCAAACAGGAUUAGAUACCCUGGUAGUCCACACCGUAAACGAUGAUUACUAGGUGUUGGAGGAUUGACCCCUUCAGUGCCGCAGUUAACACAAUAAGUAAUCCACCUGGGGAGUACGACCGCAAGGUUGAAACUCAAAGGAAUUGACGGGGGCCCGCACAAGCAGUGGAGUAUGUGGUUUAAUUCGACGCAACGCGAAGAACCUUACCAAGUCUUGACAUCCUCUGACGAACGUAGAAAUACGUUUUCUCUUCGGAGCAGAGAGACAGGUGGUGCAUGGUUGUCGUCAGCUCGUGUCGUGAGAUGUUGGGUUAAGU